AACGAACGCUGGCGGCAGGCUCAACACAUGCAAGUCGAACGAGAUCUUCGGAUCUAGUGGCAGACGGGUGAGGAACACGUGGGAACAUCCCUUUCAGUUCGGAAUAACGUUGGGAAACUAACGCUAAUACCGGAUACGUCCUUCGGGAGCAAGAUUUAUCGCUGAAAGAUUGGCCCGCGUCUGAUUAGCUAGUUGGUGAGGUAACGGCUCACCAAGGCUACGAUCAGUAGCUGAUCUGAGAGGAUGAUCAGCCACAUUGGGACUGAGACACGGCCCAAAUUCCUCCGGAGGGGAGCAGUGGGUAAUAUUGGACAGUGGGCGCAAGCCUGAUCCAGCCAUGCCGCGUGAGUGAUGACGGCCUUCGGGUUGUAAAACUCUUUUGUCCGGGAAGAUAAUGACUGUACCGAAAGAAUAAGCCCCGGCAAACUUCGUGCCAGCAGCCGCCGUAA
rnacentral:rRNA from 1 species